rnacentral:rRNA from 1 species
UACGUAGGGGGCAAGCGUUGUCCGGAAUCAUUGGGCGUAAAGAGCGUGUAGGCGGCCCGAUAAGUCCGCUGUGAAAGUCCAGGGCUCAACCCUGGAAUGCCGGUGGAUACUGUCGGGCUCGAGUCCGGUAGGGGAGUGUGGAAUUCCCGGUGUAGCGGUGAAAUGCGCAGAUAUCGGGAGGAACACCCGUAGCGAAGGCGGCACUCUGGGCCGGUACUGACGCUGAGGAGCGAAAGCGUGGGGAGCAAACAGG